AUUGAACGCUGGCGGCAGGCCUAACACAUGCAAGUCGAGCGGAUGAAGGGAGCUUGCUCCUGGAUUCAGCGGCGGACGGGUGAGUAAUGCCUAGGAAUCUGCCUGGUAGUGGGGGAUAACGUCUGGAAACGGGCGCUACUACCGCCUACGUCCUGCGGGAGAAAGUGGGGGAUCUUCGGACCUCACGCUAUCAGAUGAGCCUAGGUCGGAUUAGCUAGUUGGUGGGGUAAAGGCCUACCAAGGCGACGAUCCGUAACUGGCCUGAGAGGAUGAUCAGUCACACUGGAACUGAGACACGGUCCAGACUACUACGGGAGGCAGCAGUGUGGAAUGUUGGACAAUGGGCGGAAGCCUGAUCCAGCCAGGCCGCGUGUGUGAAGAAGGUCUUCGGAGUGUAAAGCACUUUAAGUUGGGAGGAAGGGCAGUAAGUUAAGACCUUGCUGUUUUGACGUUACCAACAGAAUAAGCACCGGCUAACUUCGUG
rnacentral:rRNA from 1 species